rnacentral:rRNA from 1 species
UACGUAGGGUGCGAGCGUUGUCCGGAAUUAUUGGGCGUAAAGAGCUCGUAGGCGGUUUGUUGCGUCUAUCGUGAAAACCUGGGGCUUAACCCCGGGCCUGCGGUGGAUACGGGCAGACUUGAGUUCGGUAGGGGAGACUGGAAUUCCUGGUGUAGCGGUGAAAUGCGCAGAUAUCAGGAGGAACACCGGUGGCGAAGGCGGGUCUCUGGACAGUUCCUGACGCUGAGGCACGAAGGCCAGGGGAGCAAACGGG